GGCCACAUAUGCAUAUAGUACUUUUGUCUCGUUUCGGUCCGCUUAAGUUAUCAAGAUUGACAUAGGCGUUAUUGAAGGAGAGGAGGAGCCUUGGCUUACAUCAAGUGAAGCGCUUUAUAAUAUCAUAGUAAGUUCUUGAGGAGUUAGGAAGCUGCAGGUGAUUUUGUAAAGAGACUUCAGGAAAUGGUGUCAACAGAAGUUCAAUGAGAAUUGAAACAGAAGAUUAUUACUCAUGUAAAAUGUACUCAGCUGCAACAAUGGCGUUUAUUAUGGAACUGAAAUUCACUCGAGUAACAUUAUGGAACUUAAUAAAUCAUUUAAAUUCACUCGAGUAACAUUAUGCAGCUACCAAGGCACCAGUAACAGCUGCAGUUGUAGCACCAACAUGAUCUGUUCUGUGAUUCUUUUUAUUAUUUUGGAGAAUUUUUAUGACCGAUGCAAACAAACACGGUCAUGGCUAUUAAGGAGAACGUGGCUGCAACCGCUAAUACCCCCUAACUAAACCCGAGCCACCGGUUCCACCGUCGCUCAAAAUUUCUCGCCAUAACUUCUUGUGUAUUUUGCCUAAGUUUGAGGUUUUAGAUUUGGUUUUGGGUGAGAAUUUAUAUGCUUUUGGAUGUAAUGAGAGUGAAUAACAAUGUUUCCAGAUAAUUCUUUGAAUGGAUUGUGUUGGCUUACGUGACGUGUGUGUGUUUACUAUAUGAUCUAAAUCGAGAAGUUUCUUUGAUGUCUACUUUUUAACGUGUUAUAACAUUUGAUUCAGUUUAAGGGAUGCUUAAGUCUUUGGAUUUAGCACAUGGACGAUGGUUUUCGUAUUUUCAAUUAACAUAUUUUGGUUACUAACUUGUUAUUAGGAUUUAAUUAACAUGCAUGAAAAAUAAAAGUAUCAAUUUACACACAAAAAUGCAUAAGUUGAGUCUUAGUUUCAAUAAUGCUUUUAUGUAUAUAUAUGUUGACAUCUUGCAGUUGUAUAGAAAACCCAAUUUCUAUACGUGGGUGAUUUUCUUAUUGAUAUAUUUGUUAGAUUAGCAGCAAGUUAUAUAGGUAAAUUAUGUGUAAUUUGGUUGCUAAAUUAAAAUAGUCACAAUCCGUAAAGACUGUAGGUAGAUUUCAUUUUAUAAACCAAACUUUUUCGAAAUAAUCUGGAUAAUGUAUGCAGCUCAUUUUUUCCUCCUCGCAGUUACUUUCAUACAGUGUCCUGCAUUUGAUUCCAAGUGAACGUUAUGAGAUUACCAUUACCUUAUUUUCAACUUGAUUCAACCAUGCGCAAUGGAGCAUGAUUCGAGACUUUAUUGUGUCUUUUAGACAAAAUAAUUUUUCCUUUUCAAUAAAAAAAACUUGAUCAACCAGGAGACUCAAACCAGAUUUCUAGAUAAGCAGGUGGACGGUAUCGAAUGUUUUCAUGCAAUAUCAACCGUAAUUAAAUUCUACAAAAAUAUCAAUACGAGAUAUAUAACAGAUUUUGUGAAGGUUUAGAAACUAGUAUUUGUGUUUUUUUUUAUUGAAACGUUAGAAACUAGCCUAUCCCUCAAAGUUUAUUGAAGAAUUCACUCGAGCUAAAACUGUGGAAACGAAUACAGAAUUGAAGUUAAUAUCAAAAUUCUAUUAUUAAUGAAAUUUAUUAAUUGUAGGAAUAAUAAGGGAAACGAUUACAGUAUUUAUAUUUAAGCCUGAUGCUAAACAGAUUGAGUAAGUCUUUCCAUAUGGAUUUUUCUUUUUUUUUUUCCAAAUCUAUAACUUACAUGACUUAUAAUUUUUAUACGCUUUAACAACCGGUUGGAAUUGAAGGAACAGACGCCUGAGAAGCAUAGACUCCAGCACCAGGUCCAGUUCUGUGUUCCUUUUCAUUAUCUGAAGAUUUUUUGUCACCACAAACAAAUACGGCCAUGGCUAUUACGGAGAAGGUGGCUGCAACCACUACAAACCCCCAAACUAAACCCAAUCCACCGGCUCCACCGUCGCUCAAAAAGCUUCUCGCCAUAACUAUUGUGUAUAUUAUUGACUAAGUUUGAGGUUUCAGAAUCGGUUUUGGGUGAGAAUUUAUAGGCUUAUAGUUUUAGAUGUGAGGAGUGACAUAGUUUUUCUAAAUAAUUUUGAAUGGACAAUAUUGCUUUACAUGACGUCUAUAUGCUUACGUAAUGCGUUUCUAAAUCCAGAAGUUCUUUGGUGGC
rnacentral:lncRNA from 1 species